rnacentral:misc_RNA from 1 species
GGGCUGCAUAUUGCGCAGCCGCACGCUCAUGUCUGCGCGCAACGCGCUACCUGCCUUGCUGCUUGCAUACGCAUCCUUGAUGUGUGAGUGUGAGGCAGCAGGGGGUUUCUUUUUCAUAUCCAGACAUAUCCGUGCGCUGGUUUCGCGUGUAGCGAUAAAACACCUUUGAUCAGCCAUUUCGCGCUUCGCACUUUCUCUGCUUCGCAGCGUGAAUGUGUCAAGUGGGUGCUGCUGACGUUACUCUCUCUCCUGUCUUUUGUUGCCGCUGGGCGCUGCGGCGGCGUCUGCUGGACAGAGAUGCGGGCGAGACGCUCUUGUAAGUUUGCUGAGUACCUCUCCACCUACGCCAUUCUCGAGCACAUUGGCAUUCACCCGACGACGCUGAUUGAGAAACGUGAUGCCGCAGUAGGAGUCGGCGUGUACGUGCGCGAUGCCUGCGACGCCGGAACCGCCCUCCUCGCCGUGCCGUCGAAGCGGUUCUGCACCACUUCCGUGCUAUCGCGAGUGGGGCUGAAAACCUCCUUUUGCAGCCCGUGGCGUGCGGACAGCGAAGUGCCGUCGUCGGCUUCUGCUGCGCCGGCAUGCGACGUUCAAGGUGGCAUCCUUUCCUUUCUCACGGGGAGUACACAGUGGCCAGAGCUAGCAUGGCGGCUUGCCCUCGAGCAGCACCGCAGUGUGUCGCCUCUGUGGGGCUGGCUACAGAGCCUUCCGUCUGUAGAGGAGCUAGCUGACCGUAGGGACGCGGCAGAGCGCCAGUGCCGCGUGCACCACACGACGCUGCUGCCGUACUACCUCAAAGGUCGCCAGCGCAUUCGAGAAGAGACGUUGGCUGCCUACUCGCAGUUGCGUGCCGACAAUAUUCUGCCGGGCUUUGACCGCUUUGCGUGGGCAGUGGACGUGGUGCUGUCUCGCGGGCUGCUCCUGCCGACGGCGUGGCCCGCCGCCGGGGGCGUGCUCACGAACAGCACGACGGACGGCGAGCAGGAGGAGGAGGACAGCGACCCGCUGCCUCACUUGUCGCUCGAGUGUGGUGUGGUGCCUUUUCUGGACCUUGUCAACGCCCCAGACGACGUCGGUCGUGCGGUCAACGCAGACAUCGAAAUUGCAACGUCGCUCGAGACCCUUCCGAGAUUCCUCACCGACGAGUUGGCGGCUGACGCUACGGCUAGAGGACGCGGCGGCGAUGAUCUUGCGGAGGUGAAGCGCUUGCUAGAGACGCACUACUAUCUCUGCCUUACCCUGCGGAAGCCGCUGCGUGCCUCUGAAGAGGUCAUUCUCGACUGGCAGGUGCCCGUGUUGACGACCGAGGUGCUGACGGCUGCUGAAGACGCGAUUGUCAGCCGUUUUCUCAAGUACAUGUUUUAGCCUCGGUGGCACCACCGCCCCCUCUCCCCCCUUCCCCUGCAGAGCCGACUGUCUUCCCACCGACCUGCCGACCAAUUAGUAAAGGUGCACUGUAUUCGCAUGAUGCGU